ensembl:lncRNA
GGGGGAUGCUCGUAAUAGACACGGAGAGGUGGAGGCAGAUCAUCCACUGUGGUGGCCUAAAGGGAAGAAGCAAGAAAAGGUAGAUCUGCUGCUUUCCUGGUGUUCAUUACUGUCCUCUACUAUAAGUAUGGCUGCAGAAUUUAAGGACAUGGCACAAACAGUUUACCACAAUGCAAAUAUAUCGUCAUAAUUAGCUUUAAAGUGGCAGCUGGAUAACAAAACGACUGCUGGGAUUGACUGUGAGGCAGGGCUGGACUGGCCAUCGGGCGUACCGGGCAUUUGCCUGGAGGGCCGCUCGUGAUUUUUCGUUUAUAUGGGCCGAUGGGGUUUUAUUUCUUUUCUUUUUUUCAACGGUAUAAAUGAAAGCUGGUGGAUUGGCCAGUUGGUCAUGAUCGACUCUGGGCUGGACCAAUUACAGCCGAGGAGGUCGGACUUUAAAGUUGAGGUGAAAAGGAACACGGUUUGUCCCGCACUACUUCAGCUAGAAAGUUGCUAAUUCAAUCAUGAAACUGAUCAAUGAUCAGCUGAUCGGCUUUUCUCUCUGCGCCGGAAAAAGGAAACCAGCAGAUGUCGCGCUAAACAACAGCAGCACGUUUAAGCUUGAUCAGCUGUUGUUAGAAUUUAUUUAAUAUUAAUUUCUAGUAUCAGCUGAUGUUUGCUGGAGCCACAGCUGUAAAGCUGCUGGUCAUGAUGUCGGUUUGGAUAUGUGGUGAGAAGGAAACAUGAAGAUGAAACCAGGAGAUGUCCUUACUGAAUCAUCAGAGCUGUGAUGGAGAAACAGGUUUACCUUUAGGUGACAUGGAUGAGUUGAAGUUAUGAACUGUUUCUGAGAGACAAAUAACACCAGGAUCCUUUUCUAAGCAGCUGACAGCUGGUAACUGUGCAGGGGCGGGUCUAGCAAAGUGUUGCCAGGGGGGGGAGUGGUUCCCUUUUUUUUUUUCUUUUCUUUUUUUGCUGGGAGUUGGCAACCCUAUUAGUUAUAGGUAUAUGUAAUUAUAAAUUAGGUUGUUUUAUAUUUUUGCUAAGUACUGUUUAGAAUAGCAGAAUCAUGAGGAUGGUGAGGUUUAAGUUUAUUAUAAAGGCUUUAUGGCUUUAAUACCACGGAGGGCCGGUCACUGGUCAAAGUGCCCGGGCUGAUUUUUUGUCCCAGUCCAGCUCUGCUGUGAGGCUUUCAAAGAAGAAACUAGUGAUCGAUAAUCGGAAAUAAACCACAACUAUCUGUUUCAUUAGCAUCUAGCAGCACAGUGUCAGCACGCUGAUGUGAAAGUGAGAAACACACAGGGAGGGAGCAUUUCAGCUAACAGGGGAUUUCUUCAGACCCUUUUUGUUUUCCAAACAAUAUUCAUGUAAUGCCAGACGCAAUCUACGUCUAAUAGAACUGAGAUUUCUGCUUCAAUCAGAUGCAAAGCCACUGGGGUACACUCAGCAUGAGAAGCGGAGAUAAAGACAGAAGGCAGUACUGUAUGUGGCUGUGUGAUGUAAAGCAGGUGAAACAGGCAGAAAAAUGACAGGGACAACGAAACAAGAGUCAAAGAAGGUGAGUUAAGAUU